UACGGAGGGGACUAGCGUUGUUCGGAAUUACUGGGCGUAAAGCGCACGUAGGCGGAUUUGUAAGUCAGGGGUGAAAUCCCAAGGCUCAACCUUGGAACUGCCUUUGAUACUGGGGAUCUCGAGUCCGGAAGAGGUUGGUGGAACUGCGAGUGUAGAGGUGAAAUUCGUAGAUAUUCGCAGGAACACCAGUGGCGAAGGCGGCUCACUGGUCCGGUACUGACGCUGAGGUGCGAAAGCGUGGG
rnacentral:rRNA from 1 species